GUCCCCGUAGCUCAGGGGUCAGAGCGCAGACAGCGUUGACUAUUUCGAUAGCGUCUGAGAUUAGGGAGUUUUCUCGCGAAGUCUAUUCAGCGAAAUAACAGCGCAUCCGAGGUCAGCGGUCCGAAUCCGCUCGGGGACA